rnacentral:rRNA from 1 species
GAUGAACGCUAGCGGCAGGCUUAAUACAUGCAAGUCGAGGGGCAGCAUGUUCCGUAGCAAUACGGGAUGAUGGCGACCGGCAAACGGGUGCGGAACACGUACGCAACCUACCCAAAACUGAUGAAUAGCCCUCCGAAAGGAGGAUUAAUACAUCGUAACUUAAUGAAGUGGCAUCACUUUAUUAAUAUAGCUCCGGCGGUUUUGGAUGGGCGUGCGCCUGAUUAGGUAGNGGCGGGGGUAACGGCCCACCAAGCCUGCGAUCAGUAACUGGUGUGAGAGCACGACCAGUCACACGGGCACUGAGACACGGGCCCGACUCCUACGGGAGGCAGCAGUAAGGAAUAUUGGUCAAUGGACGCAAGUCUGAACCAGCCAUGCCGCGUGAAGGAUGAAGGUCCUCUGGAUUGUUAAACUUCUUUUAUGUGGGACGAAACCUCUUAUUCUUAAGAGACUGACGGGUACCAAUAGGAAUAAGCACCGGCUAACUCCGUGCCAGCAGCCGC